UAAUCAAGUGCAAGGCAUUCUGGCUUCUUUCACUCCUUCAACAUUAUAGAAUUAACCCACAAAGAUGCAAGUUGGACACUCACUGUGAUGCAUAUGGUCUAGGAAUUUUAAGGACCAGUUAUGCCCCCUGGAUCUUGGGACCCAUCUGGGAGAAUGAAGUGUUCUGUGCAGGCAGAUGAGUGGCACAGCUGUAACUGAAGCACCCAGCAAUAAUGUAGCGAGCCAAUCUCCACCGUGGCAAGAAGGGGCACCGGAGGUGACAACAAUGACAAGACCGUGCUGCUGACAAGUUUUGGCGCUGAGUAGCUCCAGGACCCUGGGACCGGAAAGUGACACCCUCUUCGAGCUGAAAGAUUUUGCUUGCAGCCACUUUAUCCGCUGCAAGAUCUUCCCAUCCAUUUCAACUAUGUCAAACUGACAAAAACAGACGAAAAUAGGGGCAGACUACACAUGUCACUCAUGCUGGCGGCGAGAUAAGCUGAGAGAGCAAGAAUUGGGUGAUGGAGGAGCAAAUGUAUCAUCAUUUGGAAAAGAACUCUUCUCUUUCCAGCUAUAUAUAACUCAUCCACUGUAAACCGGCUUUCUAUUUGAUGCCUGGUGCUUACUCUUGGAAUUGGUAUGAGACCUGACAUAAAUAAAACCCUUUAAAAAAAUAACACGAGUUAAAGAAUUCAGAGAGCCUUCAAUGAAGCCCAAAUGCGUGACUAUGACAAACACAUGAAAGUGCCACAGAGAGUAAGAGCUGUGUAUUUUGAUUCUCAGGCUGAUGGAGCAAGCAAUGAAAUGGGGUUACCAUCUGUAGCUACUCCUGGAAGGGCUGCAGGGGAUAGAUUCAGACAUUCCCAGAGGAGUCUGCCCAGGGUGAAAUAAAUACCCUGGAGGUUUAAAUCAGGAUGAAGUUGUGCUUUAUCACCCAUGCUUUAAUUCAUUCAGAAACUACACGAUCUUUGUUGCUAUAUUUUGUUAGAAAGGAAGGAGAGGCUGUUUCUACAGGUGUCAUAGGAAAAUCGAUACUGAGCCACGGAUUAUUGGAUCCCGCAGAACCAUGGAGACUCGGCCCUGAAAUUCUUUCAAAGGCAGAGACCGUCUUCCUAGGUCGAGAGGCAUAAAUCCCAUGGGAAGUCAGCUGAAGAACAUUUUAUGCAUCACUCAUCCUAUUAUGAGCCCUGUUCUCUUCCACCUCUCUACAAGGCUGGCUAAAACAAGAAAAGUCAUAUAUAGUUUGUAUUCUGCUCUGACUCUGAUCGUGUCCAAAGACAGUGUUCUAUUAAAGAGACUACUACAAAGGUGAUGCUGUAUUAUUAAUAAAAUAACUGGACAAUGCAAGAUUUUAGAUUCCCCAUUUGAAGAGAUGGCCAUCAAAAAUAACUAAAUAUCAAAAGGACUGAGAUAAUGUACAUGCUGUCUAGAGAGGAGCACACUGUGUUUCAACUAUUCAACAUGGGGCUUGCUCAAGGAGUUCACCUGUGUCAGGUUGUGUUUUCCAUCACCCAUCCAGGAGGGAGGAUCAUCUCUCCUGAAAACUCACAAAUUUGAUUUUGAGAAUUAUUCAGAAAAAAGUUAAGCAACGCUUUCCCCUGCAUAGGAAAUAAUAUGCUCUGGAGGACCCUGUAAUCCACAGAAAAUGGACUGGGACAACAUUUGGGUUCUCAUACUACCCACAUCCUCUGGAGGACCGCCAGGAGGCUAAUAAUGAAGGGGCCAGGGAAGGAGGCCAAUCGGACAAGGGUUAUCUCACGACCUCAGAUGCCAGAUAAGUCGAAGGGUGCAGAAUCACUCCUGGACAGCAUUCAGACAGGCUGGAGUGAUUAUUUGGAAGAGAAAAGCCUGCCUAUUCUUUCCAAGGUGCAUGAAUAUCGCCUGGACCUGCCCAUCAGUCCAAUGGUCUAACGGUGAAUUACUAGAAAGCUGCCCCAGACAAAGGAUGCGCUUGGAUCCAGCUUCACCUAAAACCACAUUUUAAAGGAUCUGCCAAGCUCACUUGUAAUCAUGAGAAAGAAAUUACCCACAUGGACAAAGCAGAAAAUGAGAAAGUAGAGCUCGUGCUGCGAAUAACUCCAGCGAGUGCCAAGGGGCUAGUGAGGAACGGCUUCACGAGGUGUGGUGUAGUGGAGAGACACCUGAUAGAGGGAAGAAGAAGAAGUCUGGACUGGAGUCGGAAUAUAAUCCCUCUGCCACUUCAACUCUCUGCCUUGGGGCAAGUGAUUUAAACUCUAUGAGCUUCUUUCCUCUACUUUAAAAAUGGGAGAAUGAAAAUCCACCCUGCAAGGCGGUUGGGAGGAUUAAGUGAAGUAAUGCAUAUCUGCUUAACAAAGUAUUUAACAAUUAUUAUUUAAAAACUCAUGAAAUAUUAGUUUUUUUUCCUUCCUUCCCUCUCCUCCUUCUCCCUUCUCUCUCCCUCCUGUUUCCUCCCCAUCCUUCAGAUAUUAGUCUAAAACAGCACCUUUGGAUCUAAGCAACACCUUCGAGAAAGAAAAGACUUCUUCAAGAAUGUCUUGUUGCACCUCCUUUCCGUAUGGGGAUUAAAUGACUGGGUUGGACCAGUAGUUUAAUUUUGUUUAACUUGAACUGUUUAACCUUAACUAUUGACCUAUCUGCAUUUUUACUGAUUCUGUAUAUUUAUUUUUGCAUGAACUGUUCUAAUAUUGACUAUUGACCUAUACUCUUUUUACUGGUCUUCUGUACUUGUUUG